rnacentral:miRNA from 1 species
CAGCUCAACUUAUACAGAAC